rnacentral:rRNA from 1 species
GAUGAACGCUGGCGGCGUGCCUAAUACAUGCAAGUCGAGCGAACGGACGAGAAGCUUGCUUCUCUGAUGUUAGCGGCGGACGGGUGAGUAACACGUGGAUAACCUACCUAUAAGACUGGGAUAACUUCGGGAAACCGGAGCUAAUACCGGAUAAUAUUUUGAACCGCAUGGUUCAAAAGUGAAAGACGGUCUUGCUGUCACUUAUAGAUGGAUCCGCGCUGCAUUAGCUAGUUGGUAAGGUAACGGCUUACCAAGGCAACGAUGCAUAGCCGACCUGAGAGGGUGAUCGGCCACACUGGAACUGAGACACGGUCCAGACUCCUACGGGAGGCAGCAGUAGGGAAUCUUCCGCAAUGGGCGAAAGCCUGACGGAGCAACGCCGCGUGAGUGAUGAAGGUCUUCGGAUCGUAAAACUCUGUCAUUAGGGAAGAACAUAUGUGUAAGUAACUGUGCACAUCUUGACGGUACCUAAUCAGAAAGCCACGGCUAACUACGAG